GCGUUGUCCAGUGGCACAGAAGGGUUUCUACCAUCUCCUAACUGUCCCAGUGAUUUUUCUGCAUUCUGCAAUGUCCCAGGCUGGUCUCUGAAACCCAUGUUGCCCUCUCUAAAGGACCCCUGUAUUUCUCCAAAGGCUUCUGAGAUUAUUUCUCUGUGAAUAGUUAGCUGAGCAGGUUAGAGUGCGAGAAAAAGAUCCAGCUUCAAAACUUAUCCCUCGCCCUCCUGUUCUACUUUCUUAGUGGUUUUUAUUUAUUUAUUUAUUUAUUUGGUUGACGAGUUCUCAUGUAGCCCAGGCUAGCCUCCAAUUCACUAUGUACUGAGGAUGACCUUGAACUUGAACUUCUGUACUUCAUACUUCUGCCUCUGGGUCUCAAAUGCUGGUGUUACAGCCAGAUAACUGUUGGGAAGGUGCGGCUCUUCUGGACACAGCAUCCACUGUUGGAAAGCAGAAGGCCAGCAUCAGCAGGAAACCAAUUGUCAUCGCACUGAAGCCUCAUCACCUAUUAACAAGAAUUAAUUGUUAGUCUGGGGUGUCAGGCACGUGAUGGAACACUUGCCUCACAUACAUGAGGCCCUGAAAGUAAAAUGCACUGAUGAUGCUUGG
rnacentral:lncRNA from 1 species